rnacentral:rRNA from 1 species
CUACGGGUUGCACCAGUGAGGAAUAUUGCACAAUGGGGGGAACCCUGAUGCAGCAACGCCGCGUGGAGGAUGACGCAUUUCGGUGUGUAAACUCCUUUUAUAUGUCAAGAAAAUGACGGUAGCAUAUGAAUAAGCACCGGCUAACUCCGUGCCAGCAGCCGCGGUAAUACGGAGGGUGCAAGCGUUACUCGGAAUCACUGGGCGUAAAGGACGCGUAGGCGGGCUUGUAAGUCAGGUGUGAAAUCCUACAGCUUAACUGUAGAACUGCACUUGAAACUACGAGCCUAGAGUAUGGGAGGGGCAGAUGGAAUUAGUGGUGUAGGGGCAAAAUCCGUAGAUAUCACUAGGAAUACCUAAAGCGAAGGCGAUCUGCUGGAACAUAACUGACGCUAAGGCGUGAAAGCGUGGGGAGCAAACAGGAUUAGAUACCCGAGUAGUC